ACACAGAAGAUCCUGCAGAAAUACAUGCAGUACCAGAUCCUACCACGUGAGGGCGAGAGUCAUAACAGUGCCAUUUGUUUGGUCUGAGACUCUGGUUGUUCUGUUCAAAGAGACACAUGGGCUGCCUUCAUAUCCACAAAGCUGGAGACAGAGUCUUUCUGACCCGUAUCCUCCCUGCGCUGGGCCUCAGCCACCUGUGGUGCAGCUAGACCAUCCAUCUUUCCCCUAUACACACACACACACACACACACA